rnacentral:rRNA from 1 species
CUGCGACCCCAGGUCAGGCGGAACUACCCGCUGAGUUUAA